GGAAAGAGCCACUAGUGGUCGAGUGGCAGCUCAAGGCGGCAGAGGCGAGCGACCCGGCGCAAACAGCGCGCGGAGGCGGGCGCCGCGGCGGCUCAAAGUGCAGUGGAGGCUGGAACAGCAGCGGCCGCGUGACGGGGCGGCUCGCGGAACGCUGCGACGGCUAGAGGGCAAUGCCGGCGGGUCAGCUUUGAGGCGAAACACGGCUGAGGAGAGGCGGUUCGGAGCGGAGGGAAGCGCGUGGGAGCGUCCCGGCAACACGGCUCGCUCGAGGUGGCCCCGGUAUAGCAAGGCGAGUUGGAGCCACAGGAUAUGAUCCGGUGAGUCAGCAGGCUCGGGUCCAGGCGAGGCGUAGCAAAAGUAGGCUCGGAGUGGGUGUGGAUGCGUAGUUGGGGCGCGCACGCUGCUAGCUACGAGCAAGUCUAGUAGAACCCUCAAACCUUUAAAAAUAACCGUUUUUUUUAUAGUUUUCGUCGAAAAAACAGCGUAGACUAGAAUCUUUAAACCCUUAAACCCGUAAAAAACUUUAAAAGUCCAACCCGCAAACGUCAUCGCAGCCUGUAGAAGUGAGGGUUGGGGGGAUAAACUCCCCCCAACCUGCACUCCUCUUCCUCUCCAGCACGGGAGGGAAGUUUCAGCNNNNNNNNNNNNNNNNNNNNNNNNNNNNNNNNNNNNNNNNNNNNNNNNNNNNNNNNNNNNNNNNNNNNNNNNNNNNNNNNNNNNNNNNNNNNNNNNNNNNNNNNNNNNNNNNNNNNNNNNNNNNNNNNNNNNNNNNNNNNNNNNNNNNNNNNNNNNNNNNNNNNNNNNNNNNNNNNNNNNNNNNNNNNNNNNNNNNNNNNNNNNNNNNNNNNNNNNNNNNNNNNNNNNNNNNNNNNNNNNNNNNNNNNNNNNNNNNNNNNNNNNNNNNNNNNNNNNNNNNNNNGCCGCCCCGCCCCGGCCGUCCUCCGCCGUCGCCGCCCCGCCCCGGCCGUCCCUCUGUCUCCGCUGCCCCGGCUGCCCCGUCCGCAGCGUCGCCCCUGCCGCCCCGUCCGCAGCGCCGCCCCGCCCCCGCCGUCCCUCCCAGCGUCGCCGCCCCGGCCGGCCCUCCGCAGCACCGAAGAUUGAGGUUUACAUUUUUGCUUUUUUGCUUCAUUUUUACAUUUUUGCUUCAUUGGCACUCACAAUUGUUGCCACUCACAUUGUAGAUGAAGGUGAACAACGACGACAUGGACUCGUUGUCCGAUGCCUCGGAUUGGUCGUCAUCCGACGAUUCGGACAUUGACGAGUUGUUGCAAGACGACGAUGUUGAGAUGAUGAGCCUCCUCGUCGACGUGCAAGCGUUUGAAGACCGCGUGAAGCUUAUGGAUCAGAGGAGAGGGUCGACGAUGGGGCGACUCACCAUCUACCGGAACCGUGCUCUCGGACACGAGCAUUUGAUGCAAGACUACUUCGCGGAGGUACCUACAUACCCUCCUCGUCUCUUUCGCAGAAGGUACCGAAUGCGUCGUAGUUUGUUUGUGAAGAUUGUCAACGAUUGUGAGGCUGCCUCCUAUUACUUUAAACGUCGUANNNNNNNNNNNNNNNNNNNNNNNNNNNNNNNNNNNNNNNNNNNNNNNNNNNNNNNNNNNNNNNNNNNNNNNNNNNNNNNNNNNNNNNNNNNNNNNNNNNNGGAUCCGCCGCCGGUAUCAUGGGGUUUAGUGCAUAUCAAAAGAUAUCGGCGGCAAUGCGGGUACUCGCUUAUGGCAUACCUGCGGAUUAUACCGACGAGUAUCUUCACAUUGGGGAAGAUACAACCACGGAGUUCGUCCGUAGGUUUGCCAAGUUGGUCAUCCGGUUGUAUGGUGAGAAGUAUCUUCGGGCACCAAACGAGGAAGAUACAAAGAGAUUAAUUGAAAUGAAUGAAAAAAGGGGAUGGCCGGGAAUGCUUGGUAGUCUUGAUUGCAUGCAUUGGAGGUGGAAAAAUUGCCCAAAGGCAUGGCACGGAAUGUAUUGCGGUAAAAGCCGUGAUGCUACCAUUGUGCUUGAGGCCGUAGCAUCGGAGGACACAUGGAUUUGGCAUGCAUUCUUUGGGUUGCCGGGAACACUCAAUGAUAUCAAUGUCCUCAAUAGAUCUCCGUUGUUCAAAAGAUUAAUUUCUGGGGAUGCUCCAGCUUGCAACUACAAAAUCAUGAACAAUGAGUAUUCAAUGGGAUACUAUCUCACCGAUGGCAUCUAUCCCAAAUGGGCAACUCUUGUGAAGUCCAUCAAGGAGAAAAAUGGGGUGCCCUUAACAAGAAAAGAGGCACAAGAGGCAGCCCGCAAAGAUAUUGAGAGAGCUUUUUGUGUUUUACAAGCAAGGUUUGCCAUAGUUCGGGGUCCAGCUCGGUUUUGGGACAAAAAAACCUUGGUGAACAUCAUGAAAUGUCGUGUGAUUCUACACAACAUGAUCCUAGAGGAUGAGAGAGGGUUAAACCUCCCUUGUUUCUAUGACAAUGUUGGUACCCGUGUGCAACUGGAAAGAAACCCUUCUCGCAUACACGCCUUUCUUCAAGCACAUCAUGAGAUUGAGGAUGCAACCACUCAUGGUCGUCUCCGGGAUGAUCUAGUAGAGCACCACUGGAAGUUGGAUGGGCGGCGUAUUGGCCCAUGAUGUAUCUUUGUUUUACUUUUCUAUGUCCUAUUUGAUUCGAACAAUUGUUGUUAUUUGCUCAAACAUUGUUGUAAUUAUUUGAAUGAUUAUUGGUUUAUUCGGUGUUGUAAUAAUAACUAGAAUGAUUAUUGUUUUAUGUCAAAUGUGAUUGAAUUUGUGAUAUGUCAUAUGAUGAAAUGUGUGAUAUAUGAAUGAUAGUUUUAAGGUUUAGGGUUGGGGCAAAGACUAGGACCCUCAAACCCAACCCUUAUAACGGAAUAUUCCGUUAUAAGGGUUGGGUUUGAGGGUUCUAGCCUUUGCCCCUGUUUUUCAACCCUUAAAAGUGUCAAAAAUGUGCAAUUCUCUACUCUUAAAACUGGUUUUUGUUUUAAGGGUUUGAAGGUUCUACUAGAGAUGCUCUAAGACUGUCUCAGGAUGGAGGUGUGGCGCUGCAUGAGGGAGCCACUGCCAUAACAGCGUUUUGGCGAGCGGGGCGAGUUGAAUCCUGCUCGCGGUGGAGGUGAGGCCAGGUAGGCUCGAGGUGAAUCACGGCGGUGUAGACCGAGUCCGUGCGCCAUGCUUCUUGCCAUCCGUUGUUUUAAUCCACCUCUUGUGUCUGUGUGUUAUCUAGACUAAUAGUAGUACUUGUUGCUCCUGAUUUGACUCUCUCUUGUACUAGUGGAACUACUCCUACUUUGGAGUUGAUUUAUCCUUGCCGUAGCAAUGCGAUCUGACCGCCGAACUUUUAGUUUUCAUCCGACGUAUUCUGAAGUAUUUUGGUGCCGCCUGAAAAAAUUCUUGUCCCCGCGACAAAACCAUUGGAUUCCGCAUGAGGGCUCAUAUCAAUGCCCCUCUUCAUGUUGUCCCUAUAACUUUUCACUUCUUAACUGAGUAAUUUAAAGUCGACAUAGAUUCUUCUGUACCGACACUUCUUCACUUGGAAAAUUGCAAAGUUCCCGAUCCCUUGGAAAGCUCCCUCCAAUGACACAAUACCACCGUGCUAUUAGCCCCAUGGUGGGUGUCAAAUGUCGUGGUUUUGUCACGGCAUAUGUCCUCGGGAAAGAACUUAGGUGUGGAGCCAUCGCGGCCAUGUGGCAUCUUGAGAGUGGUUGGACGGAAUCAAUAGGCGCGAGUUUACCCACGUCUGCCCCCUACGAUGGUGGUAAAAGCCUACAUCCUGCUUGUGUUUCAUUGCUAAAGAUGAUGAUCUCGAUUACAAGGGUGCGGAAUCGCUACCUCUAAUCUCGAGGGUGACUAAUCUCUCUAUCUCUAAUGACUUGACCUUAUGAAUAUGUCCCUCUUGGGGCACCUUACCCCUCCUUAUAUAAGUGGAAAGGGGUAGGUUUACAUGUAGAGUGCUACUAGGAGUAGGACUAGGACUAGUUCUCUCUAAAAUCCUAAUCCUGGUCUUGUUUCUUUUGUGAGGGAGUAUCUCCUCUUCUUGGACCUUCUCUGUGAGUCGGCCCUCCCAAGAGUCGCCUUCUAGGCCAUUGGGUCUCUGUCUUUGUCAGAGUCGCCUAUCGGGUGAUCCAUGAGUCGCACUCCAGAUCACUAAUGAGUCGCGAGUGAGUCUCUGAGUCCUAGCCGGGUCAUAAUUCAAGUCGGGUUACACCAUGGGGUAUAUCCCCGACAAGGUGUGAGUGCAUAGUCAUUAAUUCAGAGGGGCGUUGAUAUUAAGAGAUGUUAAAACUUAUUGAACAUCUGAAAAAUUAAAAGGGUGUGGUGAUGAUGUGUGAGCAUUUCUAUUCCUCGUUGAAAACCUAGUGUUGUUUCGGGUCGGAGUCGCGUGAUGGUUAAUUCCUACCAACCCUCUCCCUCGGGGCAUGCGAGUAGUACUUUGAUCUGUGAUAAAACUAAUAAAACUUUGCAAUAAGUAUAUGUGUUCUUUAUGACUAAUGUGACACGAUGGACAUACACAAUCUCACCUCCUCAUAUUUGCUAGCCUCUCUAGUACCGCGCAUAGCCUAUUCUCACACAUGGAUUGGUGCAACUUUCGCUGGUGCAUCCAAAUCCCGUGACAUGAUACGUUCUGUUGCACAUAAGCCUUAUUAUAUCCUCCUCAAAACAGCCACCAUACCUACCUAUUAUGUCAUUUUCAUAUCCAUUCCAAGAUAUAUUGCCAUGCAAAUUCCAUCGUCACUUCACAUGACUAGUUCAUUCAUCAUCAUAUUGCUUUGCAUGAUCAUAUAGAACUGACAUAGUAUUUGUGGCAAAGCCACCAUUCAUAAUAGCAUUGUGACAAAGACACCAAAUAUCAUAUGCUGAAUACAUGUCAUGCUAGACCAUUGCACAUCCUGGUACAUUGCGAGAACCAUUCACAUUGGAGUCAUGUUGCUUCAUUCAUCCUAUCGAGUUAUCCACGAGUUGUAAGUAAACAAAAGUGUGAUGAUCAUCAUUAUUAGAGCAUUGUCCUAGUGAGGAAAUAAAGAUGGGGGAGGCCAAAUGAGUCCACCAUAAUAAUAAAAUGAGAGAAAAAGAGAGAAGGGACUUUGCUACUAUCCUUUACCACACUUGUGCCUCAAAGUGUUACUAUGUUCAUCAAGUAGAGAGUCUCAUGUUAUAUCAUUCUUAUGCUAGUGGGAAUGAAAAAAAUUGUAAAUUUGCUUGUAUAUUCCGAUAACGAGCUUCCUCAAAUGCCCGAGGUCUUCAUGAGCACGCAAGUUGGAUGCACACCCCACUAUGCUUAAGUGGAGUUUUCAUACACUUAUAGCUCUUGUGCAUCAUUUGCAUGGCAAUCCUUACUCCUUGUAUCAAUAUGUAUCAAUGGGCAUCUCCAUAACCCGUUGGUACGCCUAGUUAAUACGAGACUAUCUUCUCCACCUUUCAACCCCUUUGAAACCUAUCACCUUACUCUAUUCCACUUAUAUGAUAUAUGUCCAAUUGUUCACGCUCAUGUACUGCGUGAAGAAUAAAACGUUGAUGCAUAUUGAAAAGGUACGACCCGAUUGCUUGACUUGGGCACCGUGGUGCUUGACAUUUGUAGUUAUGUGGUGAAUAUGGAGCCAUGCCUUGCUAAUAUAAUAAAUAUGGAAAGGGUUGAAACAAUCUUUGAGGAUAGUACACUUUGAAAAAUUAACUGUUUUGCUGCUUAUACUUAUAAUAUUGGCGUGUUAAUAUCUGUUAAUUCAUCAUUUCUCAAUGAGCAUACCUUCAUAAGAAUACAUCAUACAUAGCAUGUCACAUCCAAAAUUCUGUUUUUAUCACUUCCUAAUGUGUCACUGAAAGCACAUAUGCUCCCUUGGUGGUUUUGAUAAUUCAUGACAACAUACAUUAUCUCUUGGACUAACAGUUUUACCUAGUAUAUUUCAGGUUUAGUCCACAGAGAGCUUUGGCUAUAGGAUUGAGUUGAGAAGCCCCUUGGUGAAGGAAGGAAUAGGAUUGGCUAAAGCUUCAAGCAAGAAGACUCUUCAUUUUACACUUUGUGCGAAAUCACAUUUUAGUCCAUAGGAAAGCCAAUACUAUUAAAAGGGGAUGAGGUGUUAUGAUGAAUUGGUUGCUCAAGUGCUUAGAGUUAGCCACCAAAAAUACUCAACCACUCUUACACAAAAUAUAUCUAUCCCAAACCAAAUAUCCAAAAUCGGUGCCAGCAACAUUUAUCACUCGGGCCUACUGAUUUUAGACUUGACAGAUCCAAGCCAAACCCUACCUUUUCGGUGCAACUGAAACUGCAUCGGUGCUACCGAGUUUAGGUACACAAAAUCGGAAUUUCCGAGUUUGAGUAUCGGUGUCACCAAGUUGUGUCAUCUAGCCGUUAGUCACCUUUUUAGUUCUACCGAGUUGUGUAUAUCGGUUCCACCGAGAUUCAAAGGUGCUACCUUUUUAGUAAGUCGAUACCAUCGAGUUUGUAACUUCGAUGUCACUGAGUUGCUCAAUUAUGAUGUAACGGUUGGAUUUUGGAGGUUGCCUGCAUAUAACCCUCCACCUACCUCUCACUCGUAGACGAAGCACUUAGAACACACACUUCAUUGCUAGACCCAUUUUGUGAGAGAGAGCCACUUACUCAUGUGUUGAGAUCAAGAGAUUCCAUUCCAACCAUUUGAACCUUGAUUUAUAGCCUCUGCAAGUUUCUUUCCGCAAGAUCAAUCUCUCCUGCCCCUGCCAAAUCUGAGAGAGAGUGAUUGAGUGCUGAGGAGACUAUGUUUAGAAGCACAACAGCAAGGAGUUCAUCAUUCUACCACAUCUAUUACCUUUUGGAGGGUGGUGCCUCCUAGAUUGGUUAGGUGUCGCUUGGGAGCCUCCUACUUCGUGUUGUGGAGUUGAACAAAGAUGUUUGUAAGGGCAAGGAGAUCGCCUACUUCGUGAAGUUCUAUCAUGAGUGAGGCUAGUCCUUUAUGAACAGAAGUCAUGGUGGAAUAGACAAGGCCGAUUCUUCGUGGACCCCUUGUGGGUGGAGCCCUCCGUCGACUCCUGUAGCCAUUACCCUCCAUGGGUUGAAGUCUCCACUAACAUGGACGUAUGAUAGUGCCACCUAUCGGAACCAUGCCAAAAAUCGUCGUGUCAACUUCUUUGUGUUUGAUCUUCCUAAACUCUACUCCUUACUACAUGUGCAAAGUAUUUACUUUUCGCUGCCAUAUUUGUUGACUAGAAUGUGUGGGGUGCACUAGACUUGUUAGAAUCGCUAAAAUUUACCAACCAUUAAAUUGGGAAAAGACUAGGAUUUUCUUUUAUGCAAGUAGUUUAUUCACCCCCCUAUAGAUACCUCUUCUAUCGAUCUCUCAAUUGGUAUCAGAGCAAGGUCUCCACAACCUAGGUUUAAACACCAUUGGAGGAAGAUGAAUGUGCCUAGUGUGGGGAAAAUUAAUUAUAGAGUGCCUAUUCUUGAUGGGGAAUAGUUACGUGGAUUUAUUUGGGAUUAUAUAAAAAAUAUUGGUCGAAAGAGGUACCGGAGGGGGGCUGCCAGGGCGCCACAAGCUCUGCCACCGCCACCCCCUGGUGGCUGAGUGGGGGCUUGUGGGCUCCCUGACGGCCCACUAGCUCCCCCCUUUUGCUAUAUGAAGGGUUUUUGUCCAGAAAAAAAUCAAUCGGGAGCUUUUUCGUGGUUUCGCCGCCGCCACGAGGCGGAAGUUGAGCAGAUCCAAUCUAGAGCUCCGGUAGGACGAUCCUGCCGGGGAAACUUCCCUCUCGGAGGGGGAAAUCGUCCCCAUCGUCAUCACCAACACUCCUCUCGUCGGAGGGGGGGGCAUCUUCAUCAACAUCUUCAUCAGCACCAUCUCCUCUCCAAUCCUAAGUUCAUCUCUUGUAACCAAUCUUUGUCUCGCAACUCCGAUUGGUACUUGUAAGGUUGCUAGUAGUGUUGACUACUCUUUGUAGUUGAUGCUAGUUGGAUUACUUGGUGGAAGAGUUUAUGUUCAGAUCCUUGAUGCUAUUCAUUACACCUCUGAUCAUGAUUAUGAUCAUGCUUUGUGAGUAGUUACUUUUGUUCCCGAGGACAUGGGAUAAGUCAUGCUGAUAAUAGUCAUGUGAAUUUGAUAUUCGUUCGGUAUUUUGAUAUGUUGUAUGUUUUCUUUUCCUCUAGUGGUGUUAUGUGAACUUCAACUACAUAACACUUCACCAUAUUUGGGCCUAGAGGAAGGCAUUGGGGAGUAGUAAGUAGAUGAUGGGUUGCUGGAGUGACAGAAGCUUAAACCCCAGUCUAUGCGUUCUUCGUGAGGGGCUGAUUUGGAUCCACUAGUUUAAUGCUAUGGUUAGACGUUGUCUUAAUUCUUCUUUUGUAGUUGCGGAUGCUUGCGAGAGAGGUUAAUCAUAAGUGGGUUUCUUGUCCAAGUAAGGGCAGUACCCAAGCGCUGGUCCACCCACAUAUCAAACUAUCAAAGUAACAAACGUGAAUCAUAUGAACAUGAUGAAACUAGCAUGACAGAAAUUCCCGUGUGUCCUCGGGAGCGUUUUCCCUCCUAUAAGACUUUGUUCAGGCUUGUCCCUUGCUACAAAAGGGAUUGGGCCACUUGCUGCACCGUUGCUACUACUUGUAACUUGUUACUUUUUGCUUGCUACGUUUCACCUCGCUACACAAUCACUUGUUACCGCUACUUUCAGUGCUUGUAGUUAUUACCUUGCUGAAAUCCGUUUAUCAGAGCCUUCUGCUCCUCGUUGGGUUCGACACUCUUACUUAUCGAAAGGACUACGAUUGAUCCCCUAUACUUGUGGGUCAUGAAGACUCUUUUCUGGCGCCGUUGCCGGGGAGUGAAGCGCCUUUGGUAAGUGGAAAUUGGUAAGGAAACAUUUUUAUACUGUGCUGAAAUUUAUUGUCAAUUGUCACUAUGGAAAUUGUUCUUUUGAGAAGUUUGUUCGGGGUAUCUUUACCAAGAACGGAAGCACGAGGAGUUGUUCCUCAACCUGAGGUACCUACUGAAAAUAUCUUUUAUGAAAUUCCUUCGGGUAUGCUUGAGAAACUGCUGGCUAAUCCUUUCACAUGAGAUGGAUCUUCACAUCCAGACUUGCAUCUGAUCUAUGUAGAUGAAGUUUGUGGUUUAUUUAAGCUUUCAGGUUUGCCUGAGGAUGAGGUAAAGAAGAAAGUCUUUCCUUUAUCUUUGAAUGAUAAGGCGUUGACAUGGUAUAGGCUAUGUGAUGAUACUGGAUCAUGGGGCUACAAUCGGUUGAAAUUGGAAUUUCAUCAAAAGUUCUAUCCUAUGCAUUUAGUACAUCGUGAUCGGAACUUUAUUUAUAACUUUUGGCCUCGUGACAGGGAAAGCAUAGCUCAAGCUUGGGAGAGGCUUAAAUCAAUGCUAUAUUCAUGCCCCAAUCAUGAGCUCUUGAGAGAAAUCAUCACUCAAAACUUUUAUGCUCGGCUUUCUCAUGAAGAUCGUACCAUGCUUGAUACUUCUUGUACCGGUUCUUUUAUGAAGAAGGAUAUUGAUCACAAGUGGAAUUUAUUGGAGAGAAUCGAACGCAACUCUGAAGAUUGGGAGCUGGAGGAAGGUAAGGAGUCAGGUAUGAAUUUCCAGUUUGAUUGCGUUAAAUAUUUUGUUGAGACAAACACUUUUAGAGAUUUUAGCGCUAAGUAUGGACUUGACUCUGAGAUAGUAGCUUCUCUAUGUGAAUCUUUUGCUGCUCAUGUUGAUCUUCCCAAGAGAAGUGGUUUAAGUAUCAUCCUCCUGUAGAAAGCAACAUAGCCAAAACCAAUCUAGUUGAGGAGAAAGUCAUUGCUUUUAGUGAUCCUGUUGUUCCUUGUGCUUACACUAAGAAACCACCAUACCCUGCUAGGAUAAAGGAUUAUUGUAAAGCUCCAACUGUGAUACGUAGGGGUUACAUUAGACCACUUGCACCCCCUGAGGAGAUUAGAGUUGAACCUAGUGUUGCUAUUAUCAAAGAUCUCUUAGCCGAAGACAUAGAUGGGCAUGUUAUCAAAUUCUGUGAGGACUCCGCUAGAAUUGCUAAACCUCACGCGAAAGACAAAUACGGACAUGUAGUUGGCCUGCCCGUUGUUUCUGUCAAGAUAGGAGAUCACUGUUACCAUGGUUUAUGUGAUAUGGGAGCUAGUGUUAGUGCAAUACCCCGUUCUCUAUAUGAUGAAAUCAAAGAUGAGAUUGCACCUGCUGUGUUAGAACCCAUUGAUGUCACUAUUACGCUAGCUAAUAGAGACACUAUCUGCCCUCUGGGAAUUGUGAGAGACGUAGAAGUCCUGUGUGGUAAGACGAAGUAUCCUACUGAUUUCCUCGUCCUUGGUACUGCACAAGAUAGCUUUUGUCCCAUCAUAUUUGGUAGACCCUUUCUCAACACUGUCAAUGCUCACAUUGAUUGCACUAAGCAGACCGUCACUCUUAGUUUCGAGGGUGUGUCUCAUGAAUUUAACUUCUCCAAGUUUGGAAGACAACCCCACGAAACAGAGUCGUCUGGUAGGGAUGAAAUCAUUGCUCUUGCCUCUAUUACCGUACCUCCUACGGAUCCUUUAGAGCAAUAUCUGCUUGAGCAUGGAAAUGAUAUGCAUAUGGAGGAGAGAGAUGAGAUAGAUAAAAAUGUCUUAGAACAAUAUCCUGUUCUCAAGAAUAAUCUGCCUGUUGAACUGCUUGGGGAUCCUCCCCCACCAAAGGGUGAUCCUGUGUUCGAGCUUAAACAGUUGCCUGAUACUCUUAAGUAUGCCUAUGUUGAUGAGAAGGAGAUAUAUCCUGUUAUUAUUAGUGCUCUCCUCUUAGAGCACGAAGAGAAGAAGUUACUAAAAACUCCGAGGAAGCAUCGUGCUCCUAUUGGAUAUACUCUUGAUGAUCUUAAGGGUAUUAGUCCCACUCUAUGUCAGCACAAGAUUAAAACCGAUCCUGACUUUAAACCAGUUUCUUAUCAUCAAAGGAGAUUAAAUCCUAAGAUGAAAGAGGUCGUUAGAAAAGAAAUAUUAAAGCUUCUCGAGGUAGGAAUCAUUUAUCCUGUUGCUCAUAGUGAUUGGGUAAGUCCAGUACAUUGCGUACCUAAGAAGGGAGGUAUCACCGUCGUUCCUAAUGAUAAGGAUGAACUAAUCCCACAAAGGAUUAUUAUUGGCUAUAGGAUGGUGAUAGACUUCCGGAAACUGAACAAGGCAACAAGGAAAGACCAUUAUCCUUUGCCGUUCAUCGACCAAGUGCUAUAAAGGCUAUCAAAACACACACACUUCUGCUUUCUAGACGGUUAUUCAGGUUUCUCGCAAAUACCUGUUGCACAAUCUGAUUAGGAGAAAACCACUUUCACCUGCCCUUUCGGUACAUUUGCUUAUAGAUGUAUGCCCUUCGGCUUAUGCAAUGCACCUGCCACUUUCCAAAGAUGUAUGAUGGCUAUAUUCUCUGACUUUUGUGAAAAGAUUGUAGAGGUUUUCAUGGAUGACUUCUCCAUUUACGGGUUUUCCUUUGAUGAUUGCCUUAACAACCUUGAUCGAGUCUUACAGAGAUGCGAAGAUACCAAUCUCGUCUUGAACUGGGAGAAGUGCCACUUUAUGGUUAAUGAAGGCAUCUUCUUAGGACACCAAAUUUCUGAAAGAGGCAUUGAAGUUGAUAAGGCUAAGGUUGAUGCAAUUGAGAAAAUGCCUUGCCCCACAGGUAUCAGAGGUAUACGAAGUUUCCUAGGUCAUGCUGGUUUCUAUAGAAGGUUCAUUAAAGACUUCUCUAAGAUUUCUAGGCCUCUUACCAACCGUCAUGCAGAAGGAUCUUCCUUUUGUCUUUGAUGAGGAUUGUGAGGAAGCUUUCGAAAUACUUAAGAAGGCUUUGAUAACCGCACCUAUUGUUUAACCACCUGACUGGAACUUGCCCUUUGAAAUCAUGUGUGACGCUAGUGAUUAUGUUGUUGGUGCUAUUCUAGGACAGAGAGUUGACAAGAAGUUGAAUGUUAUUCACUACGCUAGUAAAACUCUAGACAGUGCCCAAAGAAACUAUGCCACUACGGAGAAGGAAUUUUUAGCAGUCGUGUUUGCAUGUGAAAAGUUCAGAUCUUAUAUAGUUGACUCCAAAGUCACUAUUCACUCUAAUCAUGCUGCUAUUAAGUACCUUAUGGAGAAGAAGGAUGCUAAGCCUAGGUUGAUCAGAUGGGUUCUCCUGCUACAGGAAUUUGAUUUACACGUCGUUGACCGAAAGGGUGCUGAUAACCCUGUAGUAGAUAACUUGUCCAGGCUAGAGAAUGUCCUUGAUGACCCACUACCUAUUGAUGACAGCUUUCUUGAUGAGCAAUUAAAUGUCAUCCGCACUUCACAUAGUGCACCGUGGUAUGCCGAUUAUGCAAACUAUAUUGUAGCCAAAUACAUACCACCCAGUUUCACCUAUCAGCAAAAGAAGAAAUUCUUCUUUGAUUUUAGACACUACUUUUGGGAUGAUCCUCACCUUUAUAAGGAGGGAGUAGAUGGUGUUAUUAGAAGUUGCGUACCUGAACAUGAACAUGGACAAAUCCUGCAGAAGUGUCAUUCCGAAGCCUACGGAGGACACCACGCUGGAGAUAGAACUGCCCAUAAGUUGUUGCAAUCAGGGUUCUAUUGGCCCACUCUCUUCAAGGAUGCCCGUAAGUUUGUCUUGUCUUGCGACGAAUGCCAAAGAAUAGGGAAUAUCAGUAAGGGCCAGGAAAUGCCUAUGAACUAUUCACUUGUCAUUGAACCAUUUGAUGUCUGGGGCUUUGAUUAUAUCGGACCCUUCCCGAGUUCCAAUGGGUAAACUCACAUCUUAGUUGCUGUGGAUUACGUCACUAAGUGGGUAGAAGCUAUCCCCACUAAAAAUGCUGAUCACCACACCUCUAUUAAGAUGCUUAAGGAAGUCAUUUUCCCAAGAUUUGGAGUCCCUAGAUAUUUUAUGACUGACGGCGGUUCACACUUCAUUCAUGGUUUUUUCCACAAGAUGCUCGCUAAGUAUGAUGUCAAUAGUAGAGUUGCAUCUCCUUAUCAUCCUCAGUCUAGUGGUCAAGUGGAGUUGAGUAAUAGGGAGAUCAAGUUGAUCCUACAGAAGUCCAUCAAUAAAUCUCGGAAGAAUUGGUCUAGCAAACUUGACGAUGCACUAUGGGCUUAUAGGACUGCUUAUAAGAUUCCCAUGGGCAUGUCACCGUAUAAAAUGGUUUAUGGUAAGGCCUGUCAUUUACCUCUUGAGCUGGAACACAAAGCUUAUUGGGCAAUCAAAGAGCUCAACUUUGAUUUCAAACAUGCCGGUGAGAAGCGGUUGUUUGAUAUCAGCUCGUUAGAUGAAUGGAGAGCCCAAGCAUAUGAGAAUGCCAAGUUGUUCAAGGAAAAGGUUAAGAGAUGGCACGACAAACGAAUACGGAAACGAGAGUUCAAUGUAGGUGAUUAUGUCCUGCCAAACGAAUACAGAAACGAGAGUUCAAUGUAAGAUUCUUCGCAGGCAAGCUUCUCUCUAAAUGGUAAGGUCCCUAUGUUAUCGAGGAAGUAUAUCGUUCCGGUGCCAUCAAAAUCAAUAACACGGAAGGAAAUUUUCCUAGAGUAGUAAAUGGGCAAAGAAUCAAGCAUUACAUCUCUGGUACUCCCAUAAAUGUUGAGACCAAUAUCAUCAAUGUCAUAACUCCAGAGGAGUACAUAAGGGAUGUUUAUCAGCCUGUUUUAGACCCUGAAAACGAAGCAGUGUCUGUUUCGGAAAGCAAUUGGACUCCGAUGCUUUUCCAAUAGGAAAUUUCCACCGUUUUGGAAUUUUUGGAAAAUUAGAAAAAUAAAAAGCAGUCCGGAGAGCGCACGAGGCGGCCACAAGCCCUGCCACCGCCCCUACCCCCUGGUGGCGGAGGGCAAGCUUGUGGGCACCUCGUGUGCCUCCCGGACUCUGUUUUCUUGUGGAGCACUCCUUCUGGUCCAGAAAAAAUCAAUAUAUACUCGCCCGAAGGUUUUGAUCUCCGUAUCGCGCAGUUUUCCUCUAUUUUUGUUUCGAGCUUGUUUCUGCCGCAGAUCUAGGUCAAGAUGUCUUCUCAGGAUUCAGAGGGGGAGAGCUAUGUGGCUGACUACCUUGCUAACCCCAAGGUCUAUGGGGACUUGGAACCAUAUGGCUGGACCACUGAUGAGGAAGAGGACUAUGAGCCCAAAGGGAAGGAGCAAACGAGUUCCGAUGAAGAGGAGGCUCCUCUACCUCAACCUACAAACACCCAUGUGGAGUUCAAGAAGUCAAACCUCCCUGACCAUAGGAAGAAGCCUAAGACCUUGUUUAUCCCUUGUUGUUUCUUGCACGAGAGUAAGAAGGAACUUUGCCAUAGAGUGUUGAAACUUGAGGAGGAAAAUGACGAUCUAAGGGAGCAAAACUUUUUUGCUCAAGUGGAAAUUAGACAAGCUCAAGACUGCUUCAACAAGUCCACCACCAUCACCAUCGAAGGAAGACAACUAAGCAUUGGUAUGGGCAAUCCCCUUGGCUUCUUCCAUGCUUGGGGGAGUUGCCCUGGUAUCAUAUCACCUUUAUAUCUUUUGCUUUUACCUUUGUUUUAGUUCUUUCCUUUUCAGUUUUUAUUUCUUCUCUUAGAGAAAUAAGUCUUUAGUGUUUAGUUUGAGUCUUUUGCUUUUGUCUCUCCCCCGAUGUAUUCGAGCUUAUGAGCUAUAUAAUAAAGAGUAUCUUAGUCAAGGGCUUUGCUUUGUGCCCUGAUCAAUAGUAUGAAAAGAACGAUAUCAUGAAAGAUCAUGAGACGAUCUUAUGGAAAGUGAUAGCUUCACAUAUGACACGUAUGAUGAUUGAAACUUGUUGAGAAUAAAUCAACACAAACCUCAGUCAUUGUUGCAAUUAAUAGGAAGUACUAAGGAAAGAGAGGUUCACAUAUAAAUAUAUCAUCUUAGACACUUCUUACAAUUGUGAGCACUCACCAAACUAUUACAUGCUUAGGAGUAGAUGUUGGACAAGGAAGACAACAUAAUGAAUUGUGUUUGCUUGGUUCCAAACAAUGUUAUAUGAUUAGAGAUCCCUUAGCAUGUGACGAUUGCUUCCACCUCAUAUUAGCCAAAACUCCCGCACCAAGUAGAGAUACUACUUGUACAUCCAUAAACCUUCAACCCAGUUUUGCCAUGAGAGUCCACCAUACCUACCUAUGGAUUGAAUAAGAUCCUUCAAGUAAGUUGUCAUCGGUGCAAGCAAUAAAAAUUGCUCUCUAAUAUGUAUGAUCUAUUAGUGUGUGGAAAAUAAGCUUUGUACGAACCUGUGAUGAGGAAGACAUAAAAGCAACAGAAUGCAUAAUAAAGUUCUUUAUCACAGGAGGCAAUAUAAAGUGACGUUCCUCCACACUAAGAGGACACGCAUUCAAACCUCAAAAGCGCAUGACAACCUCUGCUUCCCUCUGCGAAGGGCCUAUCUUGUACCUUUAAUUUUUACCCUUGUAAGAGUCAUGGUGAUCUUCACCAAUUCCCUAUUUUUGCCUUUGUCUUGGCUACCGUCACAUGCUUGGGAAAGAUCUAUAUUCAUAUAUCAACUUGGAGUUGAGUACUUAUGCUUUAUUAUUGUUGACUUUACCCUUGAGGUAAAUCGUUGGGAGGCAAAAACUAUAAGCCCCUAUCUUCCUCCGUGUCCAGCUGAAUCUUUGACACCAUGAGUACCACGUCAGUUGUAUCAAAUGUGGAAAACAAAGAGAUGAUUGAGUAUGUGGGUUUGCCUCACAAGCUCUUAUAUGACUCUUUCUGAUGUUGUGAUAAAUUGCAAUUGCUUCAAUGACUUUGGACUGUUGUUGGUUACUUCUCGGUAAGGUUUUUGCUUCAUGCUUUGCUUUGUGAAGGAAUUGUUACUUUCCCAUAAGAAUCUUUAUGAUGUAUUGCUGUCUUAUGUGUGAUCAUGAUGCCCUCAUGUCCGUAUUAUGUUUUAUCGUCACCUUCGUCCCUCAACAUGUGGACAUGUUUAUGGAACUUGGUUUUCGCUUGAGGACAAGCGAGGUCUAAGCUUGGGUAGUUGAUACGUCCAUUUUGCAUCAUGCUUUCAUGUUUAUAUUUAUUGAUUUAUGGGCUGUUAUAUUACUUUGUGGUACCAUAUUUAUGCCUUUUCUCUCUUAUUUUGCAAGGUUUAAUUGAAGAGGAAGAAUUCAGGCAGCUGGAAUUCUGGACUAGAAAAGGAGCAAAUCUUAGUCCACUAUUCUGCACAUCUCCAAAUGCCCUGAAAAGUUACGUGGAUUUUUUUGGGAUUUUAUAAAAAAUACUGGGCGAAAGAAGUACCGGAGGGGGGCUGCCAGGGCACCACAAGCCCUGCCACCGCCACCCCCCUUAUGGCGGAGUGGGGGCUUGUGGGCUCCCUGACGGCCCACUAGCUCCCCCCAUUUGGUAUAAGAAGGGUUUUUGUCCAGAAAAAAAAAUCAAUCAGGAGCUUUUUCGUGGUUUCGCCACCACCACGAGGCGGAACUUGAGCAGAUCCAAUCUAGAGCUCCGGCAGGACGAUCCUGGCGGGGAAACUUCCCUCCCGGUGGGGGAAAUCAUCGCCAUCAUCAUCACCAACACUCCUAUCGUCGGAGGGGAGGCAUCUUCAUCAACAUCUUCAUCUGCACCAUCUCCUCUCCAAUCCCUAGUUCAUCUCGUGUAACCAAUCUUCGUCUCGCAACUCCGAUUGGUACUUGUAAGGUUGCUAGUAGUGUUGAUUACUCUUUGUAGUUGAUGCUAGUUGGAUUAUUUGGUCGAAGAGUUUAUGUUCAGAUCCUUAAUGCUAUUCAUUACACCUCUGAUCAUGAUUAUGAUCAUGCUUUGUGAGUAGUUACUUUUGUUCCUUAGGACAUGGGAUAAGUCAUGCUGAUAAUAGUCAUGUGAAUUUGAUAUUCGUUCGGUAUUUUGGUAUGCUGUAUGUUGUCUUUUCCUCUAGUGGUGUUAUGUGAACGUCGACUACAUAACACUUCACCAUAUUUGGGCCUAGAGGAAGGCAUUGGGGACUAGUAAGUAGAUGAUGGGUUGCUGGAGUGACAGAAGCUUAAACCCCAGCCUAUGCAUUGCUUCGUGAGGGGCUGAUUUGGAUCCACUAGUUUAAUGCUAUGGUUAGACGUUGUCUUAAUUCUUCUUUUGUAGUUGCGGAUGCUUGCGAGAGAGGUUGAUCAUAAGUGGGAUUCUUGUCCAAGUAAGGGCAGUACCCAGGCGCCGGUCCACCCACAUAUCAAACUUUCAAAGUAACGAACGUGAAUCAUAUGAACAUGAUGAACUAGCAUGACAGAAAUUCCCGUGUGUCCUCGGGAGCGUUUUUCCUCCUAUAAGACUUUGUUCAGGCUUGUCCCUUGCUACAAAAGGGAUUGGGCCACUUGCUGCACCAUUGCUACUACUUGUUACUUGUUACUUUUUGCUUGCUACGUUUCACCUUGCUACACAAUCACUUGUUACCGCUGCUUUCAGUGCUUGCAGUUAUUACCUUGCUGAAAUCCGUUUAUCAGAGUCUUCUGCUCCUCGUUUGGUUCGACACUCUUACUUAUCGAAAGGACUACAAUUGAUGCCCUAUACUUGUGGGUCAUCAACUUCCAAGUCUUUCGUAGUGACAAUUAUAACAUGGUCUUUACUGGCAUCCGUAGAGGCGAUCUAUACAUUGUCGAUUUCACUAAAAAAUCCAAACCCCGUAAUUGUUUAUAGCAAAAUCUUCUAAAGGUUGGUUAUGGCAUAGAAGGUUAGGACAUGUAGGUAUGCAUAACCUUGACAAGCUUAUCAAAAGGUGAUCAUAUUCUUGGUGUUAGAGAUUUUAUGUUUGACAAAGAUAGACUUUGUAGUGCUUGUCAAGCAAGAAAGCAAGUUCGUGGAAGUCAUCCCAUGAACAACAUCAUGACCACAAGAAGGUCACUUGAGCUGCUUCACAUGGAUCUUUUUGGUCCCAAUACUUACAAGAGCCUGCGUGGAAAUUCUUAUGGUUUAGUCAUUGUUGAUGAUUUUUCCAGAUUCAUGUGGGUAUUCUUUCUUGAUGAUAAGGUGCAGGUACAACAAAUCUUCAAGAACUUCGCUCGGAAAGCUCAAAAUAAGUUUGAAGUGAAGAUCAAGAAAGUUCGAAGCGACAACAGAACGGAGUUCAAUAACACAAAUGUGGAUACUUUCCUUGGCGAAGAAGGUAUCUCACAUGAGUUCUCGGCAACGUACACACCUCAACAAAAUGGAGUUGUUGAGAGGAAGAACCGGACUCUCAUAGAGAUGUCUAGAACGAUGCUUGACGAAUACAAGACUCCAAGACACUUUUGGGAAGAAGCCAUGGAAACAACUUUCCAUGCGAUAAAUUGACUCUACUUACACAAGCUUCUUGGUAAAACAACAUAAGAUAUACUCACCGGUAACAAACCCCAAGUUGGGUACUUUCGAGUAUUCGCCUCUAAGUGCUACAUUCUUGAUAAGCAUCGUCGCGCCAAAUUUGGUCCUAAAUCUCGUGAAGGUUUCCAACUUGAUUACGGAUCAAAUUCUCACACUUACCAUGUCUACAACAACUUCACUAGGAAAGUUGAAGAGACCGUAGAUGUGAAGUUUGAUGAAUCUAAUGGUUCGCAAGCCGAAUAAUUGCCAAAUGAUGUAGGAAAUAAGGAACCUACGGAAUCCAUUCAAGACCUACCUAUCGGCAAGAUUCGUCCCAUGGAUGUGAAGGAAAGUACUUCAUCAAUUCAAGUGGAAGCUCCUACUUCACGUCAAGGUAAACCACAAAAUGACAUGGAGGCGUCCACAAGCGGUACACGAUAUGAUGAAAUAGGAAGAAGUACAUCAUGAUGAUCCACCUCAACCAUCCUCACCACCACCUCAAGGAGUUGACACCAUCAACGACAACAUGCAAGAUGAUGAUGAUUAAGAAGCUCCAUCAUCCAACAAGAAGAAGCUGUCACGAGUUUGAGCAAGAGUGGACAAAAGAUCAUCCGCUGAAUCAAAUCUUCGAUGACAUACAAACCGGGAGAAGCAUUCACUCUAAGUCUCGUUUAGCUAACUUGUGUGAGCAUUAUUAUUUCAUCUCUAAAAUUGAGCCUUUGAAGGUAGAAGAAGCCCUUCAAGACCCAGAUUUGGUGAAUGCCAUGCACAAAGAGCUACACAUAUUUAAGAGAAAUUAAGUGUGGACAUUUGUUGAAAAGCCCGAAGGCGAGCAAAACAUAUUUUCUACAAUAUGGGUGUUUUGAAACAAGCAAGAUGAAGAUGGACAAGUUGUACACAACAAGGCGCGUCUCAUAGCCCAAGGAUACACGCAAGUCAUAGGUAUGAAUUACGGUGAGACUUAUGCCCCUGUUGCUGGACUUGAAGCCAUUCACAUUCUUCUCGCUUAUCCCAAUCACCACGAUAUUACUCUUUACCAAAUGGAUAUCAAAAGUGCUUUUCUAAAUGGUGAAAUAGAGGAGGAGGUUUAUGUGAAACAACCUCCCGGAUUUGUGAACCCUAAGAAAGCUAAUCAUGUUUACAAACUUCAUAAAGCUUUAUAUGGUCUUAAACAAGCCCCUAGAGCCUUGUACAAAUGUCUAAGGAAGUUUCUUAUUCAGAAGGGUUUUCGAAUUGGUAAAAUUGAUGCUACCUUAUUCACUAAAAGAGUUAAUGGUGAACUAUUUGUAUGCCAAAUAUAUGUGGAUGAUAUUAUAUUUGGUUCUACUAACCCACAUUUUAGUGAAAAGUUUGGAAAGUUGAUGUCAGAGAAAUAUGAGAUGUCAAUGAUGUGCGAGCUGAAAUUCUUCCUUGGAUUGCAAGUCAAAGAAUCAAGAAGUACACCAGGGACUUAAUCAGGAAGUUCAAUAUGCAAGAGUGCAAAGGUAUGAGAACCUCCAUGCCUACUAGUGGACAUAUUAAGCUCACUAAGGAUGACAAACCGGUUGAUCAAAGAGUUUAUCAAUCAAUGAUUGGUUCAUUGCUAUAUCUAUGUGUCUCCCGUCCUCACAUCAUGCUGAGUGUCUGCAUGUGUGCCUGAUACCAAGUGGCAUUCAAGAGUAUCAUCUAUUGACUGUUAAAAGAAUCGUGAGAUACCUAAACCAUACACCAAACUUUGGCAUAUGGUAUCCCAAUGUUUCUCCCUUCAAUCUUGUUGGCUAUUCCGAGUCAGACUAUGCCAGAGACAAGGUUGAUAGAAAAUCCACCUCAGGUACAUGUCAAUUUCUCGGAAGAUCUCUUGUGUCUUGGUCAUCCAAGAAACAAAACUCAGUAUAUUUAUCUACUACCGAAGCUGAAUAUAUAGCCGCUGGAUCAUGUUGUGCGCAAUUACUAUGGAUGACUUAAACUCUUAAGGAUUA
rnacentral:lncRNA from 1 species